rnacentral:rRNA from 1 species
GUGUCAGCAGCCGCGGUAAUACGGAGGGUGCAAGCGUUAUCCGGAAUCAUUGGGUUUAAAGGGUCCGCAGGCGGAUUUAUAAGUCAGUGGUGAAAGCCUGAUGCUUAACAUCAGAACUGCCAUUGAUACUGUAAGUCUUGAAUUCGAUCGAAGUGGGCGGAAUAUGACAUGUAGCGGUGAAAUGCUUAGAUAUGUCAUAGAACACCGAUAGCGAAGGCAGCUCACUAGGUCUGGAUUGACGCUCAGGGACGAAAGCGUGGGGAGCAAACAGGAUUAGAAACCCCCGUAGUCC